rnacentral:lncRNA from 1 species
GAAUCAAAGUCUGUAGAUUUGCAGCGAACAGGCUGAUGAAGGGUAUAGGCAAAGAUGGCUUUUAGGGGAGUGGGUGCCUUGGGUAUUACCUUAGUUUCAGAAAUGAGAAAGCAGUGAGGAUCAGCACCAGCCCUUUGGACAACAGACAACUCGGGGGGAGAAUGUCCUUUCAGGAUGAAUAUGGCUCAUUCAAGAAUUAACUCUCUACUCAUCUUCUACCUCAGUUUUUUGCUGCUCAUCAAUCUAAAAAGUAAGAUUUGCACUUCUUAUUGUUCUGACAUGUCCUCUGGGUAGAUGGCUAGACAUGCACUUCUAGCAGGAAGUUUGUGUUGUCAGAAGGCUUUAAAAAUUUGAUAGGCAUGCCAAAAAGAUUUGAUCCAUGAAGCAAAGUUGUAUGAAUUCGUUGCAUGAUAGCUUUCCUGAUCUUCAUGUUUAAACUUUUUUUUUUUUAAAUGAGGAAUGAAAGCAUUUUUAAUACCUUGCUUCACAUAUUUAAAAUACAACAAUAAAAUAUUCUGUUAAAACUGUACCUAUAAAGUCAGCAUUUUGCUACCACUCAUCCAGUAAAUUUAAACCUAUCUGAUUAAACUUGAGACUAAUUUGUGCUUUGCUCAAGCUGUUCAUGUUAUGUAUUUUAAUAGAACUCAUUGCUUUAUUAUAUAUGCUGUUAAAAUUCCAACCUCUAGAGAAAUCAGUUAUUCGACAACUGUGAUAUAUUUGAUGUUCUAAAUGUCUCCAUUACGAGGGAGUAUAAAAGUCCAACUAUUUUUAUAGAGAAAAUAUUCUCGGCAAACUUCCACAUAAACAGAAGUAUGCAAAAUAUUGGAAGUCACAAUGGGUUUCCUUGAUAAUUGUGUCAGAUGGUUGAGAGUAAAUACAAGCCAAGGAGCUAAAUGGCCUCAGCUGGUGAGGCUGAUGUAUGUGUAUGAAAAGCAGUAGCUCUUGAACCUGUUUAAAAUUAAGACAGGCAGGAUGUGUGUCUGUCUGAGGAGGCUGUUUGAUUUGCGUCUGUUGAAUGUGAAUCGCAGUAAGACAAAGCUUUGAGCAGCUGCCAUUAAACAAGAAGACUGCAUUAGCAUACAGUGUUGUGUAAUCUGGGUCACCUUCUGUUGCUGCAUCACUCAAAUUGUUACUUGGACAGUUUACAGCCCAACAUAAAUUAAAUACUGAAUAGCAAACAGAUGCAGUUGGAUCAACUAGCACUGAAAAAAAAAAACCAACCAACCAACAAACCCAAACCACCCAACAAAACCCGUAAUAAAACCCUCA